rnacentral:rRNA from 1 species
UACGUAGGGUGCGAGCGUUGUCCGGAAUUACUGGGCGUAAAGAGCUCGUAGGUGGUUUGUCGCGUUGUUCGUGAAAACCGGGGCUUAACCCUCGGCGUGCGGGCGAUACGGGCAGACUGGAGUACUGCAGGGGAGACUGGAAUUCCUGGUGUAGCGGUGGAAUGCGCAGAUAUCAGGAGGAACACCGGUGGCGAAGGCGGGUCUCUGGGCAGUAACUGACGCUGAGGAGCGAAAGCGUGGGGAGCAAACAGG